UGGGUAACCUGCCUCAAAGAGGGGAAUAGCCUCCCGAAAGGGAGAUUAAUACCGCAUAAUAUGUUUAAGUCGCAUGACUUUAACAUCAAAGGAUUUUUCUUUUAAGAAAUUCCACUUUGAGAUGGACCCGCGGCGCAUUAGCUAGUUGGUGAGGUAACGGCUCACCAAGGCAACGAUGCGUAGCCGACCUGAGAGGGUGAUCGGCCACAUUGGAACUGGGACACGGUCCAGACCUCCGUACGGGAGCAG
rnacentral:rRNA from 1 species